rnacentral:rRNA from 1 species
AAAAACAUAGUUAUUUGAAUAUAUAAAUAAUACUUCCUGCUCAAUGAUUUUUUAAAUAGCCGCGGUAUUUAUAACUGUGCAAAGGUAGCAUAAUCAUUUGUUUUAUAAAUUAAGACUUGAAUGAAUGGAAAAAUGAAUUAAAACUUUUUUAUAUUUAAAAGUAUAAUUAAUCUUUCUAGUGAGGAGACUAGAGAAUGAUUGUAAGACAAGAAGACCCUAUUAAGUUUUAUAUAAGUAUUAUAUUGGGGUAAUAAAAGAAAAAUUUUUCUUUAGAAUAUUAGGGUGAUAAUUAUUGAUCUGAUAAUAUAAAUAAUAGAAUAAAUUACUAUAGGGAUAACAGCAUAAUAUUUUUUGAAAGCUCUUAUUGACAAAAAUGUUUAUGACCUCGAUGUUGGAUUAAAAUAAUUGCAUAGGUGAAGAUAUUAUGAUAAUUAGUCUGUUCGACUAUUAAAAUUUUACAUGAUCUGAU